AGAGUUUGAUCCUGGCUCAGGAUGAACGCUGACAGAAUGCUUAACACAUGCAAGUCUACUUGAUCCUUCGGGUGAAGGUGGCGGACGGGUGAGUAACGCGUAAAGAACUUGCCUUACAGACUGGGACAACAUUUGGAAACGAAUGCUAAUACCGGAUAUUAUGAUUGGGUCGCAUGAUCUGAUUAUGAAAGCUAUAUGCGCUGUGAGAGAGCUUUGCGUCCCAUUAGUUAGUUGGUGAGGUAACGGCUCACCAAGACGAUGAUGGGUAGCCGGCCUGAGAGGGUGAACGGCCACAAGGGGACUGAGACACGGCCCUUACUCCUACGGGAGGCAGCAGUGGGGAAUAUUGGACAAUGGACCAAAAGUCUGAUCCAGCAAUUCUGUGUGCACGAUGAAGUUUUUCGGAAUGUAAAGUGCUUUCAGUUGGGAAGAAGUCAGUGACGGUACCAACAGAAGAAGCGACGGCUAAAUACGUGCCAGCAGCCGCGGUAAUACGUAUGUCGCAAGCGUUAUCCGGAUUUAUUGGGCGUAAAGCGCGUCUAGGCGGCUUAGUAAGUCUGAUGUGAAAAUGCGGGGCUCAACCCCGUAUUGCGUUGGAAACUGCUAAACUAGAGUACUGGAGAGGUAGGCGGAACUACAAGUGUAGAGGUGAAAUUCGUAGAUAUUUGUAGGAAUGCCGAUGGGGAAGCCAGCCUACUGGACAGAUACUGACGCUAAAGCGCGAAAGCGUGGGUAGCAAACAGGAUUAGAUACCCUGGUAGUCCACGCCGUAAACGAUGAUUACUAGGUGUUGGGGGUCGAACCUCAGCGCCCAAGCUAACGCGAUAAGUAAUCCGCCUGGGGAGUACGUACGCAAGUAUGAAACUCAAAGGAAUUGACGGGGACCCGCACAAGCGGUGGAGCAUGUGGUUUA
rnacentral:rRNA from 1 species